rnacentral:rRNA from 1 species
GACGAACGCUGGCGGCGUGCUUAACACAUGCAAGUCGAACGGAAAGGCCCUGCUUUUGUGGGGGGCUCGAGUGGCGAACGGGUGAGUAACACGUGAGUAACCUGCCCUUGACUUUGGGAUAACUUCAGGAAACUGGGGCUAAUACCGGAUAGGAGCUCCUGCUGCAGGGGGGGGGUUGGAACGUUUCGGCGGUGUGGGCUGGACUCGCGGCUUAUCAGCUUGUUGGUGGGGUAGUGGCUUACGAAGGCUUUGACGGGUAGCCGGCCGGGGAGGGUGACCGGCCACAUGGCGCCUGCGGGACGCCCCAGACGGCUACGGGGGGCAGUGGGGGAGAAUAUUGCACAGUGGGGGGACGCCUGAGGCAGCAACGCCGCGUGCGGAAUGACGGCCUGCGGGUUGUAAACAGCUUUCUCCUGUGACGAAGCGUGAGUGACGGUACUGGGUAAAGAAGCACCGGCUAACUACGUG